GUUGAUCCUGCCCUGGGCCAGGCUGCGGACAGACACGGGCUGGCCGAAGUAAACGUGUAUCCUGCCGUAAUCUUCGCUGAGGAUCUGCCGAGCUUUCAGCAGUCCCUGAAAACAGACAGACCUUGGGCUUUGCCUGUGAAGACUGCAUUUGUGAAACAAAAGAUAAACCAACAUGUCUUUGGGAGAAAAGUAAGCCAUUUUGAAGCAAGCAUUGUGGAUAGCUUGUACAACAACUUGGAAUAUCCUGAAAAAGAAAGAAAUCACUGGCGUUCUGAGCAACCGACAUUGAACAGGCCGACCAAGGAAAACAACAGCAGGCAGAGCCACUCACUCUCUGGAUGCCCUCCUCGUUGACGUGGACACUCUGGAAGAGGGCCUUGAAGGCUUUGCUGAGCGUGAACACAAAGAAGCGGAUCGUGCUGAGCUGCAGCCGCUGAGCCAUCUCCUCCAGGAUGGCCACCGCCUCUUCCUGAACGAUGUCCGGAGUCUCCCCCAUCUCCUUCGACACCUGGGCGCACACGUCAUCGUUAUGGUUACGGUUAACUGUAAGAUGCCCUGGUUCCAUGGAAAACCCUUCAGCCUUGACUAGCCUAAGGGCACCAGUAACUGGUGGACAAACAAGUUUAAUCUCUAGGAUGGAAAGGAUAUAACACCACACCCAUAUAUUUCCUUUAGAAGCGCUCCUGCUAGAACAUAUGUACACUGACCUGUACAAUCAUGUCACUUUCACAAUUACUUUCUUCCAGAUUCCCAUUUAUCU